GCAAACUUGGUCAUUUAGAGGAAGUAAAAGUCGUAACAAGGUUUCCGUAGGUGAACCUGCGGAAGGAUCAUUAUUGAAUACUCUUGACGAGUUGUAGCUGGCUCUUCGGGGCAUGUGCACGCUUGUCUUGACUUUAUUCAUCCACCUGUGCACCUUUUGUAGUCUUGUGGGUUGAGAGCAGUCGACUAUCAGAGACUUCGGUCUUCUGGAUGUGAGGAGUGCUGAGUGCGAAAGCAUUAAGCUCUUUUCUAAUGACUUGCAACCUCCCUCGAGUACUAUGUAUUCAUAUACCACAUAGUAUGUUGUAGAAUGUGAUCAAUGGGCCUUUGUGCCUAUAAUAAUCAUAUACAACUUUCAGCAACGGAUCUCUUGGCUCUCGCAUCGAUGAAGAACGCAGC
rnacentral:misc_RNA from 1 species